rnacentral:rRNA from 1 species
UACAGAGGAGCCAAGCGUUGUCCGGAUUGACUGGGCGUAAAGCGCACGCAGGCGGUUGCGCGCGUGGGGUGGGAAAUCUGGCCGCUUAACGGCCAGGCGCCAUCCCAUACGGCGCGACUGGAGUGAUGCAGAGGUCGAUGGAAUUGCCGGUGUAGUGGUGAAAUGCGUAGAGAUCAGCAGGAACACCCAGGGGGAAACCAGUCGACUGGGCAUCUACUGACGCUGAGGUGCGAGAGCGUGGGGAGCGAACCGG